rnacentral:lncRNA from 1 species
GGAAAAUGGAGAAAAGUUCGAAACAAAAGAUGUCGGAGCUGUUAACAAAGCUCGGUGAUCGAGACACGUUCACAAUGGCGGCGAAAGAGCUAGACGUGAUGGCUAGAAACAUUGAUCCCACCUCCGGGAAUCUCCAGUCGUUCAUCUCCGUCGUCCUCUCCACCGACGCCGGAGAUAAACCGGCGGUUCGCAAGCAUUGCAUCCAUCUCCUCGCGGUUCUAUCCGUCUCUCUCCCUCCGAACUCUCUCUCUCCUCACCUCUCCAAGAUCCUAUCUCGCGUCACGCGCCGCCUCCGCGAUCCGGACUCAUCCGUCCGGUCGGCCUGCGUCGCGGCGGUGUCGGCGAUCGCGUCCCGGACGACGAAGCCUCCUUUCGGUUCCGCGUUCGUGAAGCCGCUGUCGGAGGCGCUUUUCACGGAGCAGGAGGUGAACGCGCAGAUCGGAGCGGGGCUUUGUCUCGCGGCGGCGAUCGACGCGGCGGAGGAUCCGGAUCCGGUUCGGUUAGGAACAACACUUUUGCCUAGGCUUGAGAAGCUGGUGAAGUGCUAUGAUGCACCGGGACGGAUACGGGUACAGAAGCGGGGACGGGAGCGGGGACGGAAAACGGCAAAACUAAAAAAUUAUGGAUACGGGUACGGCAUAGAUACGUUUAUAAAAAUAAUAUAUAUAUAUACAUAAAAUUUUAGUUUGGAUUGAUAUAUGGACUGAUAAUCGCAUAAACUUCACCAGAUGUAUAACAGAAAUAGAGUAUUCAAAAGUAAUAGUUCCAAUCCAAAGUCAUCAUUAUGGUUUCAUUUCUGAAUUCUUACCUUCGGCAAUAAAUUCGAUGUAGAGAAUCAUUUAAUGCUUUCAAUUUCAACAAUAUAUAUUCUUAAUCAAAAGUGAUGAAAGAAAAAGUAACGGCACGUGCUAAAAAGCUCAUGUUGUUAAGUCCUAACUUACGGAUACGUCCCCACGCCGUUUGAGCCAACUCGCGAUCAAAUAUAAAAAAAAUAAUUUAUAAAAAUAAUUAAAAAAUAAAAUAUUUUUCAUAAUAUAAUUUAAAAUUAAUCCAAAACACUAAUAUUACAUAAGAAAAAUAGAAGUCAUAUAUAUAUAUAUAAUAUAAAAGCGAGCAAACUCAUGAGUUAGCUUAUGAUCAUUAAAGAUCGCUCAUAUAACUCGUGAUCUAAUUUAAGCUCGAUCAUCAAGCUCAUUUAUUAAAUAAGCCUGAAAUACAGAGAUCGUGCUCGUGAAAAUUUAAGUUUAGCUGAUUCAGCUCAUGAGCUAUAACUCAUUUUCACACCCUAGAUUAUGUUAUAGUCCGUUUUCAUAGUUAGGUUAACCAACUUCUCAUCAUAUAAUAUCAGAUUUCAAAUCAAACACAUUUCUGUCUAUCGAAAUGAUAUUAUGAUGUUAGCAAUAUAUCACUUAAUACUUCAAGAUACAUAGUCAGCUGAUUCCCUAAUUAGUUUUGAGUAUCUUACUUUUGUAAAAAUGCGUUGUAUAGAUUAGAUUAAUUUUACAAUAAUUACUGUAACUAAGAUAACCAUAUUACACAUGAAUCAAGUAGACCAACGGGAAACACUAUACUUCUAAACACUAAACCUUCAAUAAAUGUCACUUUCGUCAGACAAUAUCAAUUCCAUUAAAUACGUCAUUUAGGAAAACAAGGCGGAUCAUUCUUAAACACACAUCAUCGUGUCCCCCUAGCGUGAUUAUUUAGACACCUGAAGAAACGGCACCGUUUCAGGUCAUCUUCAUCAUCACCUCUCAAAAAAAAAACGGUAUAAAGACAGAACACAGAGACGCACGUAAACAAACUGUAAUAAAAAAAAGUUAACUGAUCACCGAGUCAAAGCUUUACGUCCCGGCCGAACACCAUCUAGUUCUUAAAACUACAUCUUAAUUUACACUAAAUGCCACUGUCUCCGCCGCAUCACUGAUCCUCAACCUUCGCCGGAAAAUACUAAAAACGGUCGGAAAAUGGAGAAAAGUUCGAAACAAAAGAUGUCGGAGCUGUUAACAAAGCUCGGUGAUCGAGACACGUUCACAAUGGCGGCGAAAGAGCUAGACGUGAUGGCUAGAAACAUUGAUCCCACCUCCGGGAAUCUCCAGUCGUUCAUCUCCGUCGUCCUCUCCACCGACGCCGGAGAUAAACCGGCGGUUCGCAAGCAUUGCAUCCACCUCCUCGCGGUUCUAUCCGUCUCUCUCCCUCCGAACUCUCUCUCUCCUCACCUCUCCAAGAUCCUAUCUCGCGUCACGCGCCGCCUCCGCGAUCCGGACUCAUCCGUCCGCUCGGCCUGCGUCGCGGCGGUGUCGGCGAUCGCGUCCCGGACGACGAAGCCUCCUUUCGCUUCGG